UUAACAAGAAGGUUUGCCGAAAUCAUAAUGCAGCCCAAAUUCCGUCAAGCAACCGCCCCGCUGAGCUGGGAGAAAGCAUUCUCUGCGAUGGCUCGAUCCUUUUGGGACCGGAUCCUCAGCCCCCAGCCCCCCGGGACUCAUCAGGAUCGGGCCUUUCGCAAGACUUGAGUUCCGACCUUUUUCGAGCUGGCCAAAGCCGGUCCUUUU
rnacentral:sRNA from 17 species